rnacentral:rRNA from 1 species
AGCAGCCGCGGUAAUUCCAGCUCCAAUAGCGUAUAUUAAAGUUGUUGCAGUUAAAAAGCUCGUAGUUGAAUUUCGGGAUCAAGUCGUCGGUCGUGCCUCGGUACGCACUGGUGACAUUGGUUUCCCCCUUCUGAAGAACCUUGAUGUCAUUAAUUUGGUGUCUUGGGGAAUCAGGACUGUUACUUUGAAAAAAUUAGAGUGUUUAAAGCAAGCUCACGCUUGAAUACAUUAGCAUGGAAUAAUGAAAUAGGACGUUUGAUUCUAUUUUGUUGGUUUCUAGGAUCGACGUAAUGAUUAAUAGGGAUAGUUGGGGGCAUUAGUAUUCAAUUGUCAGAGGUGAAAUUCUUGGAUUUAUUGAAGACUAACUACUGCGAAAGCAUUUGCCAAGGAUGUUUUCAUUAAUCAAGAACGAAAGUUAGGGGAUCGAAGACGAUCAGAUACCGUCGUAGUUUUAACCAUAAACUAUGCCGACUAGGGAUCGGAUGAUGUAAUUUUUAAUGACUCAUUCGGCGCCUUACGG